AGACGAACCGUCCAAACGUUAUUCGGAAUCACUGGGCUUAAAGGGUGCGUAGGCGGCACGGCAAGUUGGGUGUGAAAGCCCUCGGCUCAACCGAGGAAUUGCGCCCAAAACUGCCGCGCUCGAGGGAGACAGAGGUGAGCGGAACUUAGGGUGGAGCGGUGGAAUGCGUUGAUAUCCUAAGGAACACCGGUGGCGAAAGCGGCUCACUGGGUCUCUUCUGACGCUGAGGCACGAAAGCUAGGGGAGCGAACGGGAUUAGAAACCCUAGUAGUCC
rnacentral:rRNA from 1 species